UACGGAGGGUGCAAGCGUUGUCCGGAUUUAUUGGGUUUAAAGGGUGCGUAGGCGGCCUUAUAAGUCAGUGGUGAAAUACUUCGGCUCAACCGAAGAGGUGCCAUUGAUACUGUAGGGCUUGAGUACAGACGAGGUAGGCGGAAUUUAUGGUGUAGCGGUGAAAUGCAUAGAUACCAUAAAGAACACCGAUUGCGAAGGCAGCUUACUUGGCUGUAACUGACGCUGAGGCACAAAAGCGUGGGGAUCGAACAGG
rnacentral:rRNA from 1 species